rnacentral:rRNA from 1 species
UACGGAGGAUGCGAGCGUUAUCCGGAUUUAUUGGGUUUAAAGGGUGCGCAGGCGGGAGAUUAAGUCGGCGGUGAAAUUUUGCAGCUCAACUGUAAAAGUGCCUUCGAAACUGGUUUCCUUGAGUGUAGAUGAAGUAGGCGGAAUUUGUGGUGUAGCGGUGAAAUGCAUAGAUAUCACGAGGAACUCCGAUUGCGAAGGCAGCUUACUAAGCUACUACUGACGCUCAGGCACGAAGGCGUAGGGAUCAAACAGGAUUAGAUACCCCGGUA